UACGGAGGGUGCAAGCGUUAUCCGGAUUCACUGGGUUUAAAGGGUGCGUAGGCGGGUAAGUAAGUCCGUGGUGAAAUCUCUGAGCUUAACUCAGAAACUGCCGUGGAUACUAUUUGCCUUGAAUAUUGUGGAGGUGAGCGGAAUAUGUCAUGUAGCGGUGAAAUGCUUAGAUAUGACAUAGAACACCAAUUGCGAAGGCAGCUCACUACACAAUCAUUGACGCUGAGGCACGAAAGCGUGGGGAUCGAACAGG
rnacentral:rRNA from 1 species